rnacentral:misc_RNA from 1 species
AUUGGUUCCUAAGGAAUUUUAUCCAAUAAUUUUUCAAAUGAUAAACGUGAGGCUAUUGUAAUUGAUUGCAAAUAGUGGAUUGUAAGAGCAUAUAUGAACCUUCGAAUGAGUUGGUUGAUGAACAGAGGCUGUUUAGAUUAUCCAUCUAUUUUGUCUAAUCAAGCAUUUGUUCAUACAUAUCUGUUGGUCUGCCUGUACAGAACACAAAAAUGGAGAAAAUGAGAGGUAAAUACUCACUAAAU